ACUAAGCGUACACGGUGGAUGCCCUGGCAGUCAGAGGCGAUGAAGGGCGUGCUAAUCUGCGAUAAGCGCCGGUAAGGUGAUAUGAACCGUUAUAACCGGCGAUACCCGAAUGGGGAAACCCAGUGUGAUUCGUCACACUAUCAUUAACUGAAUCCAUAGGUUAAUGAGGCGAACCGGGGGAACUGAAACAUCUAAGUACCCCGAGGAAAAGAAAUCAACCGAGAUUCCCCCAGUAGCGGCGAGCGAACGGGGAGGAGCCCAGAGCCUGAAUCAGCAUGUGUGUUAGUGGAAGCGUCUGGAAAGGCGCGCGAUACAGGGUGACAGCCCCGUACACAAAAGCGCAUGUGCUGUGAGCUCGAUGAGUAGGGCGGGACACGUGGUAUCCUGUCUGAAUAUGGGGGGACCAUCCUCCAAGGCUAAAUACUCCUGACUGACCGAUAGUGAACCAGUACCGUGAGGGAAAGGCGAAAAGAACCCCGGCGAGGGGAGUGAAAAAGAACCUGAAACCGUGUACGUACAAGCAGUGGGAGCCCCACCACCAAAGCGUUUCGCUUUGUGUGGUGCACAAAGAAGCGUAACGACAGCACUGAAUGACGGUUAACGGAGCGCAAGCGACGUUCAACAUACAAAGUCAAGCAGUGGAGCGCUUUGGGGUGGGGUGACUGCGUACCUUUUGUAUAAUGGGUCAGCGACUUAUAUUCUGUAGCAAGGUUAACCGAAUAGGGGAGCCGGAGGGAAACCGAGUCUUAAUUGGGCGUUAAGUUGCAGGGUAUAGACCCGAAACCCGGUGAUCUAGCCAUGGGCAGGUUGAAGGUUGGGUAACACUAACUGGAGGACCGAACCGACUAAUGUUGAAAAAUUAGCGGAUGACCUGUGGCUGGGGGUGAAAGGCCAAUCAAACCGGGAGAUAGCUGGUUCUCCCCGAAAGCUAUUUAGGUAGCGCCUCGUGAAUUCAUCUCCGGGGGUAGAGCACUGUUUCGGCUAGGGGGCCAUCCCGGCUUACCAACCCGAUGCAAACUGCGAAUACCGGAGAAUGUUAUCACGGGAGACACACGGCGGGUGCUAACGUCCGUCGUGAAGAGGGAAACAACCCAGACCGCCAGCUAAGGUCCCAAAGUCAUGGUUAAGUGGGAAACGAUGUGGGAAGGCCCAGACAGCCAGGAUGUUGGCUUAGAAGCAGCCAUCAUUUAAAGAAAGCGUAAUAGCUCACUGGUCGAGUCGGCCUGCGCGGAAGAUGUAACGGGGCUAAACCAUGCACCGAAGCUGCGGCAGCGACGCUUAUGCGUUGUUGGGUAGGGGAGCGUUCUGUAAGCCUGUGAAGGUGGCCUGUGAGGGUUGCUGGAGGUAUCAGAAGUGCGAAUGCUGACAUAAGUAACGAUAAAGCGGGUGAAAAGCCCGCUCGCCGGAAGACCAAGGGUUCCUGUCCAACGUUAAUCGGGGCAGGGUGAGUCGACCCCUAAGGCGAGGCCGAAAGGCGUAGUCGAUGGGAAACGGGUUAAUAUUCCCGUACUUGGUGUUACUGCGAAGGGGGGACGGAGAAGGCUAUGUUGGCCGGGCGACGGUUGUCCCGGUUUAAGCGUGUAGGUGUGUGUUCCAGGUAAAUCCGGUUCACUUUAACACUGAGGCGUGAUGACGAGGCACUACGGUGCUGAAGCAACAAAUGCCCUGCUUCCAGGAAAAGCCUCUAAGCAUCAGGUAACAUCAAAUCGUACCCCAAACCGACACAGGUGGUCAGGUAGAGAAUACCAAGGCGCUUGAGAGAACUCGGGUGAAGGAACUAGGCAAAAUGGUGCCGUAACUUCGGGAGAAGGCACGCUGACACGUAGGUGAAGUGAUUUACUCAUGGAGCUGAAGUCAGUCGAAGAUACCAGCUGGCUGCAACUGUUUAUUAAAAACACAGCACUGUGCAAACACGAAAGUGGACGUAUACGGUGUGACGCCUGCCCGGUGCCGGAAGGUUAAUUGAUGGGGUCAGCGCAAGCGAAGCUCCUGAUCGAAGCCCCGGUAAACGGCGGCCGUAACUAUAACGGUCCUAAGGUAGCGAAAUUCCUUGUCGGGUAAGUUCCGACCUGCACGAAUGGCGUAAUGAUGGCCAGGCUGUCUCCACCCGAGACUCAGUGAAAUUGAACUCGCUGUGAAGAUGCAGUGUACCCGCGGCAAGACGGAAAGACCCCGUGAACCUUUACUAUAGCUUGACACUGAACAUUGAGCCUUGAUGUGUAGGAUAGGUGGGAGGCUUUGAAGCGUGGACGCCAGUCUGCGUGGAGCCGACCUUGAAAUACCACCCUUUAAUGUUUGAUGUUCUAACGUGGACCCGUAAUCCGGGUUGCGGACAGUGUCUGGUGGGUAGUUUGACUGGGGCGGUCUCCUCCUAAAGAGUAACGGAGGAGCACGAAGGUUGGCUAAUCCUGGUCGGACAUCAGGAGGUUAGUGCAAUGGCAUAAGCCAGCUUGACUGCGAGCGUGACGGCGCGAGCAGGUGCGAAAGCAGGUCAUAGUGAUCCGGUGGUUCUGAAUGGAAGGGCCAUCGCUCAACGGAUAAAAGGUACUCCGGGGAUAACAGGCUGAUACCGCCCAAGAGUUCAUAUCGACGGCGGUGUUUGGCACCUCGAUGUCGGCUCAUCACAUCCUGGGGCUGAAGUAGGUCCCAAGGGUAUGGCUGUUCGCCAUUUAAAGUGGUACGCGAGCUGGGUUUAGAACGUCGUGAGACAGUUCGGUCCCUAUCUGCCGUGGGCGCUGGAGAACUGAGGGGGGCUGCUCCUAGUACGAGAGGACCGGAGUGGACGCAUCACUGGUGUUCGGGUUGUCAUGCCAAUGGCACUGCCCGGUAGCUAAAUGCGGAAGAGAUAAGUGCUGAAAGCAUCUAAGNGUCUCCUGAAGGAACGUUGAAGACGACGACGUUGAUAGGCCGGGUGUGUAAGCGCAGCGAUGCGUUGAGCUAACCGGUACUAAUGAACCGUGAGGCUUAACC
rnacentral:rRNA from 1 species